rnacentral:rRNA from 1 species
UACGUAGGGUGCGAGCGUUGUCCGGAAUUACUGGGCGUAAAGGGCUCGUAGGUGGUUGUGCGUGUCUGUGAAAUUCUGGGGCUUAACUCCGGGCGUGCAGGCGAUACGGGCAUAACUUGAGUGCUGUAGGGGUAACUGGAAUUCCUGGUGUAGCGGUGAAAUGCGCAGAUAUCAGGAGGAACACCGAUGGCGAAGGCAGGUUACUGGGCAGUUACUGACGCUGAGGAGCGAAAGCAUGGGUAGCGAACAGGAUUAGAUACCCCCGUAGUCC